GAUUACUUUGUGGGAUGACUGACUUAAGAAUUAAAGCAUUUUGUAUGUACAGCCAAAAUUCCUUAUGUUUAAUUUGUUUUGCUCCUUCUCAUCUGGGCUCUGAAUAUACUAAGGAAAUUGGAAGACUGGUCUGCUUGGUCUCUGGUUGCAAAGUGAGGUUGGGCUGGUAAGUGGGUUUUGAUAUUUGCCUCGUUCAGCCGGGAUGUUCAGCUUCAGCAGCCACCUGGGAAGUUCACGGCCCAGGAGACGGCCUUGUCUGUUUCUGUAGCAGCAAAUUCUGAACAGCCCGUUGUGUCUGCUGCUUAACGUGGCUUUUGGGUUGCUCCUUUUGAGAAGCAUCAUCUUGAUUUGUUCACUGCAGAGACCACUUACUUUUUGACAAAAGGUAAUUGUUGGGAUUCCUGGUUUUCUUCUCACCUUGUGAAUCUCUGUUUUGGCACAUAGGAAUGAGGUGUGUUUACUGCUGGAGCUGCUGGGCUGUCAGAACCUGUGGCUUUUCUUUGUCUUGGUUGUGGCUUGCCAGGUUGCCGGCUUUUGAUUCAGAAGUGGUGCUGCUGGAUCGCUUGCCAGCGGGAGUGGCCCACGGUAAAGAUCAAGAUGAUAUUCUAGCCAGAGGGGACUCAGGAGGGAAGCUUUAAUUUGGGAUUUCCGGCUGAGGCCUGCCUUCCUACAUCUCUCCAGACCCACUGCGUCUGUGCAUGAAGCCAGUGAGCCUGACAUGUCCCAUUCCAGGCUUUAUUUCUGCCCUGAUACAAGGCGAGCUGCUGCAGGGUUCUAAUGCUGUUCGAUUUGGGGUUGGAUUAGGGAGUACUAGUGUCAGCCAAUGAGUGUUUCAGGAUUUUGUUAUUGCUUUUUUCCAAAGAAAAUACAGCAUUAGGUUGAAUAAUUAAAGCUGGGGACCAUAACUGGGAAGUAAACAAAAAGAACCCCCAAGUAAGUGUAAAGUAGCUGCUAGGAACCCCAUUUUGUUUCUCGGUCAUGUCAUCCUCAAGGUUCUAGAAAAGACCAUGGAGUAAAACAGAAAUAGCAGAGACCAGUGCUCAACAGCUGAGGCCACUGGAAGGGAGGAAAAGAAAGAAUUAGACUCUUGCCGAACGUGGGGCCACCCCUGCUGCAGGAAUUCCUGGGGCUCCCACGAUGCUAUGGCAGAGCGUGAAGAGUCCAGAUAGGUGCUCUCUGCUGCGGGGGGGGGGGGGGGGGCAGGGGGGGCAGGGAAGCAUGCGGUCCACUGAGGAGAAUUUGCAUGAAAAUAGUUUCUGGGUUUUGUGGUGUAAUUUUGAUGAGCUUUAGUUUCCUGAGAAAACUAAUCUGUGUAGAACACCUUCUUCCGUUGGUGUUGGCCCAAAUGAGGCCUUUGGUAUAGUUUCCAGGAUGGAGUUUGGGCCGUGGGUAACCUGAUGUAGAAAUCUGUUUCUGGGACACGCAGACGUAAGUGGGGACAGCCCUUGGCCCUCAGUUGUCUGCUCUUCAAGAGUGUGGGUGGGGGGAGAAUGAGCCAUGUGGUUUCCUGUCCGACCUCAGAGUGUUUUGGCACUUCCUUUUUGGGGUGAGGGAGCUUCCAGAUCCGGAGUUCCCCCUGCUUGCAGUUCCGAGCUCUCAUGUUGGACCUUCACGCCAGACUGUGCCUGGGAUAAGGCGUAAGUAUUACUUCUCUUUGAAUCAUCAGCAGCCAACAUGGGGCCCGGUGCAUAGUUCUCAAAAGUGUCUAUUGAAUGUGAGAGUGUGAGAGUGCAGGUAAUUGUUUUGAUUUUGUGAUUUUGUAUCUUUCCCUUCAGAAGGUUUUCUGUGUGUUUAGAAAUAAAUUUCUUUUUACUUGCCAAAUCAAGAUUGUCAUGUCAUCCUUUGAAACAGGAAAAUCUUUUUCAGAGUUAUCAAGAUCUCUGUUCUAAAAAGCAUCCUAGUUAAUAUCUAAUUUCUUUGUUGAAAAAUAUAUUAAUCAUGUCUUUUCUUCUGUAAACCCUUCCCUCACAUCCCCAGUCCAUCAGGACCACUUUCUUCUCUGAAUUCUUAAAGUAAUUACUCUCUGACUCACUUCGUUGGUCCCUUUCUGUCCAUUUCUCUGUCCGUCUGUCCUUCGAUCCGUGUUUUGAUCCAUCGGUUGACCAGUCCAUCUGUCCGUCCAUCCAUCCAUCCGUGGCACAAACCUGGGAUGUCUCAGGUGCCAGAGCCUAAAGUGUUCUGCAUGUGUGGAGUGUGGUGGCCCAAGCAAAUGUGGGUGCUCCGUGUAUGCUGGGGGCGGCCUUGCUUCCCUCCUCGGUGCUGACACACUUCUGAAGCAAGAAUCUCGUCAAAGGAGGACACAGGAAGGCGUAGCUUGAGGUGUUGUGGAAGUUACAGUAAUGCAGUUUGGCUUUGGGGUACUUGGAGCUGCCCCUCUCUGGUCAAGGCAGAGGUUGGCAUAUUAUAGCCCACAGCUUGUUUUUAUAUGCAAAAAAAAAAAAAAAAAAAAGGGUAAGCUAUAAAUAGUGUUUAUAGGUUAAAAUGAGUUAUAAAAACCCAAAAGUCUAAAGAGUAUGCCACAGAGACUGUAUAUGUGCCCAUAAGGCCUAAAAUAUUUACUGUCUGGCUCUUCAUAGAGAACGUUUUCCCAGCUCUGGGUGAGAGCGCGGAGUAUGAGAACAGAGUCUUUGCCAGCCUGCGCCGGAUGUGGGUACAGUGAGCUUUAGAGUUGCUUAGUCUAGCGGCCCACGUGUCCCGGGAGCCCCCGCUUCAAACACCUCUGUUUGCUGUGGUGACCUGGAACUUGCUCCCUGUGGAAGCAGUCUUUUCUGUCCAGGCUUGCAGGGAAAAGGCUUUUGAGUAGGGGAGUGAACUGAGCAGAGCCGGGCUUCAGGAAGAAUGGUUUGGCAUGGGGUGGGAGGGUGAGUAGGACCCAAGGCAGGGGCCCAGUAGGGAAGCAAUGGCCACUGCCCAAGGAAGGGCUCAUUGGGGUCUGAAGUAGGGCAGUGGGAAUACGGUGGAAGGGGGGCGCGUACUGCAGGGGAAUGAAAUGGCGGUAACCCAUUUGUCAGACCUGUCUUCGGGCUUCGGCUAUCUCCU